UUUCAUUACUCACAGCCCCUUUGAGUCAGUUAAUGGUUGUCUGUGAUGGGUCUUUUCCAGUGCACAUGUUUUCAUCUUCCAGAUUGGGACAACGAAUUGGUGUGUUACAAAGAAUUAAAUGAGGAUCUAACCUGUACCUGGCUGCCAGUACCUAGUGCUGCAAAUACAGUUAAUUACACUGUAUACUUAAAAUGGAACAAAAUACGAAAACUUUUUCAACGAAAAACAUCAUCACCUUCCAUCACAAUAGAACGGACGAAUCUCUACAUGGAGAGAUUUGUAUCCAUUUGGAUAGCAGUGAAUUAUGCUCAUGACACCUGUGCAAAAGGAAAGAAUAUCUCAAUUUUACCAAGCAAAGCAGCAUUUUCGGAUAACUCUUGAGAAUAUGAAGAUCAGAAUUAUUCAUCUGAGUGCCUGUCUCCAACUUUCUCCAUGUUUACCAGAACUCAUGAACAAGCCCAGAAUAUCAUAUAAUGUAACUACACAAGUCUCUCCAGGAAGAAGAAGUGUUCUUCUGAGAUGGG
rnacentral:lncRNA from 1 species